GACGAACGCUGGCGGCGUGCCUAAUACAUGUAAGUCGAACGCAGUGGGGACGGGUGAGUAACACGUGGGUAACCUCCCAUCAGAGGGGAUAACACUUGGAAACAGGUGCUAAACCGAUACUGAUGGAUGGACCCGCGGUGCAUUAGCUAGUUGGUUAGGUAACGGAUCACCUAGGCGACGAUCUCUAGCUGGGCUGAGAGGAUGAUCAGCCACACGGGGACUGAGACACGGCCCAGACUCCUACGGGAGGCAGCAGUGGGGAAUAUGGCACAAGGGGCGCAAGCCUGAUGCAGCCAUGCCGCGUGUAUGAAGAAGGCCUUAGGGUUGUAAAGUACUGUUAGCGGUGAGGCGUUACCCGCAGAAGAAGCACCGGCUAACUCCGUGCCAGCAGCCGCGGUAAUAC
rnacentral:rRNA from 1 species